UUGAAUUUUAAUGAAGAGUUUGGUUGUAGCUGGCCCAUUCAUUUGGGCAUGUGCACACCUUCCUCUUUCAUCCCACACACACCUGUGAACCUGUGAGACAGAGAUGGGGAAUCUACUUGCUGCUUUUUGGAAUACAAAGGCAAUAGGUUAUUGGACCCCCCCUCUGUCUACUCAAUUAAUAUAAACUCAAUUUAUUUUAAAACGAAUGUAAUGGAUGUAACACAUCUCAUAC
rnacentral:misc_RNA from 1 species